rnacentral:rRNA from 1 species
UACGUAGGGUGCGAGCGUUGUCCGGAAUUAUUGGGCGUAAAGGGCUCGUAGGCGGUUUGUCGCGUCGGGAGUGAAAAAUCCAGGGCUUAACUCUGGACUGGCUUUCGAUACGGGCAGACUAGAGGUAUGCAGGGGAGAACGGAAUUCCUGGUGUAGCGGUGAAAUGCGCAGAUAUCAGGAGGAACACCGGUGGCGAAGGCGGGUCUCUGGGCCGAUACUGACGCUGAGACGCGAAAGCGUGGGGAGCAAACAGG